rnacentral:misc_RNA from 1 species
GAUGAAGAACGCAGCGAAAUGCGAUACUUGGUGUGAAUUGCAGAAUCCCGUGAACCAUCGAGUCUUUGAACGCAAGUUGCGCCCGAAGCCAUUAGGCCGAGGGCACGCCUGCCUGGGCGUCACACGUCGUUGCCCCCCCAUCUACUCCUUCGGGAUUGCGGGGGGCGGAUGAUGGCCUCCCGUGCGCCUCGCCGCGCGGUUGGCAUAAAUGCCAAGUCCUUGGCGACGCACGCCACGACAAUCGGUGGUUGCGAAACCUCGGUUGCCCGUCGUGUGCGGUCGUCGCGCAUCGAGGGCUCGAAAAAAUUGCCGGGUUCCGGCUCGGCUUUCAACGCGACCCCAGGUCAGGCGGGGUUACCCGCUGAAUUUAAGCAUAUCAAUAAGCGGAGGA